AGGAUGAACGCUGGCGGCGUGCUUAAUACAUGCAAGUCGAACGGAGAAUUAGCAAUAGUUCUUAGUGGCGAACGGGUGAGUAACGCGUGGGUGACCUGCCCCGAAGUGUGGGAUAACAGCUCGAAAGGGCUGCUAAUACCGCAUGUAGUGCGUGUCCUUAGAGAACACGCACCAAAGGCGAAAGCCGCUUUGGGAGGGGCCUGCGUCCCAUCAGCUAGUUGGUAAGGUAAAGGCUUACCAAGGCGACGACGGGUAGGGGACCUGAGAGGGUGACCCCCCACACUGGCACUGAAACACGGGCCAGACACCUACGGGUGGCAGCAGUAGGGAAUAUUGCACAAUGGGCGCAAGCCUGAUGCAGCAACGCCGCGUGCGCGAUGAAGGCCUUCGGGUCGUAAAGCGCUUUUCUGGAGGACGAGGAAGGACGGUACUCCAGGAAGAAGGCUCGGCUAACUACGUGCCAGCAGCCGCGGUAAAACGUAGGAGCCUAGCGUUAUCCGAAUUCACUGGGCGUAAAGCGCGUGCAGGCGGUUCGGUAAGUUGGAUGUGAAAUCUUCUGGCUCAACUGGGAGAGGACGUUCAAGACUGUCGGACUAGAGGACGGUAGAGGAAGGUAGAAUUCCCGGUGUAGUGGUGAAAUGCGUAGAUAUCGGGAGGAAUACCAGUGGCGAAGGCGGCCUUCUGGGCCGUUCCUGACGCUCAGACGCGAAAGCUAGGGGAGCAAACGGGAUUAGAAACCCCGGUAGUCCUAGCUGUAAACGAUGUAGACUUGGUGUCGGGUGGGGGUAAAAGCCAGCGGUGCCGAAGCCAACGCGAUAAGUCUACCGCCUGGGGACUACGGCCGCAAGGUUAAA
rnacentral:rRNA from 1 species